rnacentral:rRNA from 1 species
GAUGAACGCUGGCGGCGUGCUUAACACAUGCAAGUCGAACGAAAAAGCCCUGCUUGCUGGGUGGAUUAGUGGCGAACGGGUGAGUAACACGUGAGUAACCUGCCCUUUACUUUGGGAUAAGCCUGGGAAACUGGGUCUAAUACUGGAUAGGAGCAUGCUGUGCACGGUGGGUGUUGGAAAGUUUUUUCGGUUUUGGAUGAGGUCGCGGCCUAUCAGCUUGUUGGUGGGGUAAUGGCCUACCAAGGCGUCGACGGGUAGCCGGCCUGCGGGGGUGGACGGCGGCAUCGCUAGGACUGGACCGCGGCCCAUACUCCUGCGGGAGGCAGUAGUGAGUAAUGUUGAACAAGGGGAGGAAGCCUGAUGCAGCGCCGCCUGGUGAAUGAUGGCGGCCGUCGUGUAGUAAACCUCCAGCAAUAGCGAAGAAGUGAUGGUGACGGUACCUGCAGAAGAAGCACCGGCUAACUACGUG